rnacentral:rRNA from 1 species
CAUGGUGUGACGGGCGGUGUGUACAAGGCCCGGGAACGUAUUCACCGUGGCAUUCUGAUCCACGAUUACUAGCGAUUCCGACUUCAUGGAGUCGAGUUGCAGACUCCAAUCCGGACUACGACAUACUUUAUGAGGUCCGCUUGCUCUCGCGAGGUCGCUUCUCUUUGUAUAUGCCAUUGUAGCACGUGUGUAGCCCUACUCGUAAGGGCCAUGAUGACUUGACGUCAUCCCCACCUUCCUCCAGUUUAUCACUGGCAGUCUCCUUUGAGUUCCCGGCCGGACCGCUGGCAACAAAGGAUAAGGGUUGCGCUCGUUGCGGGACUUAACCCAACAUUUUCACAACACGAGCUGACGACAGCCAUGCAGCACCUGUCUUCAGAGUUNCCGANGCACCAAAGCAUCUCUGCUNAGUUCUCUGGAUGUCAAGAGGUAGGUAAGGUUCUUCGCGGUUGCAUCCGAAUUAAACCACAUGCUCACG